rnacentral:piRNA from 1 species
UCCCUACCACUUACCCCUGCAUACUUUCU